CAGAACCCCAAACUCUGAAUCUACUUACCCAACGUGCAUUGAGUCAUUACUGGGCAUCUGGGUUGGGGAUUGGGAGGAAGUAGCUUUCUAUUUUUGCAAAGCACAGAGAAAGGAGUAUGGGCAGUUGUUGCUUAAUUCCCAAACUGCACGAGGGAUUAAAGAUAAGGAAUCUUCCAGCUGAAGUUUCAGUUAAGAGAGGAUGAACACGUCAUAGAGAAUCAAAAAGAGGAUGGGAAUAAAUCACAAUAAAGAAACCCAGAUGAUUAAGUGCCAGGCAUUUAAUGAAUUUCCCAUUUUUCCAUGGGGAGAAAGAAGCCAGGGGACUACAAAGGAGUGGAGAUUUCAACACAGGCAUCUUCCAGAAUUGUUCCAAGAGUGGGAGGGGAGAAAUGAGGAUUAUCUUUGAUCAGAAACAGCAUGACUGGAAUCUCCCCGGAACUGGAGCAAGCAAUUUCCUGGACUGUGACACCAGGAACAGAAUGCCAACUGUGACUCUGCAGUAUUAUCCUACUCUCGAAUGCCCUCCGGUGACUUUUGUUUUCAUCCCUGGCCUCCUCCCAGAGUGCUCACAUCCAAAUGAUUGGCUCAGGAAGAAAGGGAGAAGGAGAGACAGAAAGAGGGUGCGGGGCACUGAAGUAACUGGAACAAGCGUCAUGGAGGAAGUGUGGUAGAGUUAGAACGACUUGAAGGGAGAUCAGGAUCCAGACAAGUGAAGGAAGAACAUUGCAAGUCAAAAGGUUGACAUCGGGGCUGGCACUGUGGUGAACCGGGUUAAAGCCCUGGCCUGAAGCGCCGGCAUCCCAUAUGGGUGCCAGUUCUAGUCCUGGCUGCUCCUUUUCCGAUCCAGCUCUCUGCUGUGGCCUGGGAAAGCAGAAAAGAUGGCUCAAGUUCUUGGGCCCCUGCACCCACGUGGGAGACCCAGAAGAAGCUCCUGACUCCUGGCUUCGGAUCAGUGCAGCUCCAGCUGUUGCGGCCAUCUGGGGAGUGAACCAGUGGA